rnacentral:lncRNA from 1 species
CGCCAUCUUUGCUGUUUGGAAAACUCGGCCAUUCCAUCCUGCGAGCUUUGGAGAGACCAAGCCCACUGAGGCAGAGGCGGCUCCUCAGCAUGUUACAGCUGUUUUGUUGAGGUGUGGUGAGGUUGCUUCUUUAAAUGGGACCCUGAUACAUUCCUCCUCCCUGGGCAGGUCCUUCCAUCUGGAGCCUCCAGCCACCCCUGCCUGUGUUCUGUUGCGGAAAGACUUCUAAUUUCUCCCUGGGGCAGAGUGCCUGCGGAGUGGGGCGGGCCGCCACCUUGGCUGUUUGUGAAGCGGCAUCAUUGUCUGGGGUAUGAUUUAAAACACUUUACUGACCUGAAUUCAUUGGAUAUAUGUAAAAAUGAAGGAAUGCACAUUAUUCUGCUUGAUGCUCUGCAGAGAGGAGAUGCCUGAGAGGUUGCACCUGUAUUCCUGGAUGCACUGGCCCCAGGGGUGGUUGGUGCUGACUCCACAUUUGUCUAAUAAGAUGUCCAGAUACAAAAAUGUCUGUGAUGUGGGAACCAUUACAGAUCUAGGAAAGUUUUUUCAACAGCAAAAAAAGCAAAGCCUGUUUCUGUCAAAGUCUUUUAUUUUAUUUUUGAAUUUGACCUUUUAAAAUAAGAUUAAAACAUUCCAUCAAGAUUCCCUUUA